rnacentral:tRNA from 1 species
UCCCUGGAGGACUAGUGGUUAGUCCACGGCGCUCUCAUCUCUGCAGCCUGGGUUCGAUUUCCGGCCAGGGAA